rnacentral:rRNA from 1 species
UACAGAGGGUGCAAGCGUUAAUCGGAUUUACUGGGCGUAAAGGGUGUGCAGGUGGUCGGGCAAGUCGGUUGUGAAAUCCCUGGGCUCAACCUAGGAAUUGCUUCCGAUACUGCUUGACUAGAGUACGGUAGAGGGCGGUGGAAUUUCCGGUGUAGCGGUGAAAUGCGUAGAUAUCGGAAGGAACAUCAAUGGCGAAGGCAGCCGCCUGGGCCUGUACUGACACUGAGACACGAAAGCGUGGGGAUCAAACAGG